AUUUUUUAUAUUAGUCUCCGACCAAAGGUUUCCAAACGGAAUUACGACAGAGACGGAAAAACCAUGACGAAUUGAUGACGAGCCGGAGAAAGAGAGAGUAGAUUUGAGUUUCUGGGUUUUCCAUCGCUGGUUUUUCUCCUUCGGUGACAAGUUCAUGAUUUCGUCUUCAAGAUAACAUUCUCGAAGAGGUGUCCGUGAGAUUUGUAAAUGUCUUUGUGACGGAAUAUAUCCAGAAAAUGGAAGCAGGUUGCAUGCAAUUCCGGCCUGGUGCUUUCUUACCGCAAUGUGCAGCAUAGUUCAACUGUUUUGACAUCCUUCUUUAUUAGCCGGAUUGAUUUUUUUUUUUAUCCACAUGUAUCAUGACAUUUUAAUUUAUCCAUGUGUACACCUAUUGUCAUGGGCACCAUCUUUGGUUUGACUUUAUUUACUUUGUUAUAUAGUUGGCAUUUCGAUUAAGCAACCA